rnacentral:lncRNA from 1 species
UCCCCUCUCAGCCUAUUUAUAUGGGGCAUCCCAGAUGGGCUAAUGACUGGAUUUUGGGUAAACAUUAGAGCUAAUUAGUGUGUAAUAGAGGAGAAAAAUUCUAAAAAAAAUUUGAGAAAAAAAGAAAGAAAAAAUUGAGAGGAAAAGUUGUAAGAAGGGUGGUGAGAAAAUUAGCAUAUGUUGCUAGUUUAUCCUAGGGCUUGGUUUUUUUAUGUGUUGGAGCUCAAAAUCAAAUCCUAAAUUGUGAGACUUCUGAAGACUAUUU